rnacentral:piRNA from 1 species
UGGAUUUGGAUGCUAAUGAUUACAGAGAAA